CGUGGGUAAAACACCAGCGACCAAUCAAGAUUGAGGAGAACCCUUCCCUUCCCACCCAUUGAAAAGGGAAGGAGACGCCCCCACCUACCCCACAACGCACGGAUCACACUUAACACACAGCCCCCCAUCCCGCUCCCGACGAACCGCCGCCACCACCCACCGCUCACACCCACCUCACCGCCGGCCAUGGCCUCCCUCACCCUCUCCUCCUCCCCGACCGGGAGAAGAGAAGGCAAGAUAGGAGAAGAGGGAGGGAGAUCCACCACGACCGGUCAGGUCAGGCGGCACGCCCAGACCCGUCGUCGGCGAGCUCCUCUGCUCCGGGAGAUCAGGAGUGUGGGGGCGGCAACCUUAUCUUUCUCGGGACGCCGCCCUUCCUCUGCCCAAGCUGCUCCCAUUCCCAGUGAACGACCACGGCGCCGGACACAACCACGCACCGGCCCGGCAGCCAUGGAAGGUCAGGUGUCUUGGUCCGUCAGCUUCUUCUCCAUGGACAUGGAGGUCCCGCCAUGGAAGGCCUGGAGCCUGAUGCGGUUUGGCAGCUCCCCUGCCUCCCUCCCUGAUGCGCGCAGGCAGUUGCACCACCUACAAGACGGUCUGCUUCUUCUCCAUGGAGGUGUCGCCGCUGCUCCGACCCUAGUGCCGGCCGACGCCAUGGAAGGUUUCGAUUGGAGCCGCUCCCCUCCCUGAUGUGCGCGCGUGCAGGUGUUCCGUGUGCUUCCUUCUUUCCCUCCUGGGACGCCGCUCUCCUGCUGCUCUGACGCCAUGGAUGGACACAUGUACCAACACCUGGGACAAGAUCAAGAUGCGGGUGCAUAAGAAGGUGAUCGACCUCACCAGCUCCUCGGAUGACAUCAAGCAGAUCACCUGGAUCGCCAUGGAUAGGUCAAGGUGACCUUAAAGGGUGCCUAGGACAAGCAACUGCUGGCGGAGGGCCCUGUGAGGAUGCCCACCAAGGUGCUCAACAUGACCACCUAGGAAGUCCGUUUUUGGCAAAGCUGUGUCAUAACCUCCCGGUCCAGCUACUAUGGCUCAAUGGACCACCUCCUCCUCGGCCAGUACCGAUGCAAAGGAGAUAAGGGGUUCAUCGUGCCAAGCAAGGUUCAUGGUGGUAGGCUCGGUCUCCGGCCAUGGCGUCUUCCGUUGGUCCUGCUGCUGUGCGACAGAGGCGGUUUUGUUCGGCAUCAGCUACAAAACAGCUAUGGUGGUCGAGUUCAUGGCCGUCGAGCCACGGCUAUGGUGGUCGCGCUGCGUUCAUGGCCAUCGAGCCACGGCUAUGGUGGUCGCGCUGCGUUCAUGGCUAUCGAGCCACGGCUAUGGUGGCCGCGCUGCGUUCAUGGCCAUGUCUGGUCAGGGUUUGGUCUCCUUGCAUAAUGAUGAAGCAGCUGCUAAUCGGGAACCAGCCAUUGGUGUACCGCAAUAAGGUCACCGCCGCCUGCAUGGGCAGAGUUGCCGCCAAGCUUGAGUCAAUGGAGCCCUGCUCCAGCCUCAAGGAUAGGUGAGGAGAAGGGGUUCAUCGAGCCAGGCAAGGUGCACGGUGGUAGGCAGGCUUGGUCUCCAGCCUCACCGUCUUCUGUUGGCCCCUUUUUGCCAUGUGGCAACGGCGGUGCUGUUAGGAAUCGGCUAAAAACUGGCAUGGGGCUUGCGAACCAAAGUAUCAACUUGGAGCUCCUCUCUGCCCAAAUAUAUGACAUACGUAAAGAUCCCAAACCAGCAAGGUCUUGCGCAUGCGGUGGCCGCCUUUUGAAUAUCUUCAGCUUGGUCUCAUCGUCUUCGUCCAGCUCUCCAAUGUCAACGAUGGCUACAAACAUUAAAGGUGAGACCUCCUGCCUUCUCUUCCCCCCCUUGCUCUGGGCACGUGAUCAUCGAGCCACAACUGUUUAGGUUUUUGGUAAAUGAUGCCUUGAUGGCCAUGUCUGACAGUUGACAGAAAGUUGCACUGUGAUGUGCUUGAAUUGCAGACUCUCAGUUUGAUUUUCGCCAUUUCACUUUUUAUAUUCUAUAGGUAAAGAGUAGUAUUGGGGGUUUGAACCCAGAAUCUGCAUGUCAUGAUUUGAGUCAGGAUAAGAAGUCAAAAUCUCAUGAAGGUAGUACAAGGGGGAAUCACUUUCUAGACAUAGGUGUGGCCAAGUCCCAUUUUGAAAUCGUAGUUUUUUGAAUUGUUUGUUCGAUAGCACCGUUCAGGCGCACAUUUCUCCUUAAAUUGCUCACCCAACUGGUGGUGCAAACGACUCAUCACAAUUACCUUGAGUCACACAAUCCAUUUUUAAUGGAGUAAGCCUAUGUGAUCCUCUUGUCCUUCUCAGAGCACACGAUGAGAAGGCAAACAUUUAGGUCAAGCCAUCUCAGUUUGCUGCAUUCAAAUUCCAGACCAAUUAAUCUCCACUUUUAGUUUAAGCCCUGAGAUGAUGGCAAACCAACUCAGAUUGUGGCAGUUGGUUGUAGAAAUGUUCACUCACCCUUCCAGAUUAUUACUUGAGGUUACAUAUGCUAUACAUAUAAACUAUGCUAGUGUUUGAUAGCGAUCUGUUGGGCAUAGUAUUGUUUUUGCUGGGGUCUAUCUAUUUAGAGUUUAGUCAUAGAUUUGCCUAGUAUUAUUUUUGCUUGUAAAGUACAACCUCUGUGAACAAAUAUAAGACGUUUUAUGGACUUGUGUCGAGUCUCUAAAACGUCUUAUAUUUAUUUACGGAGGGAAUAGUUAUCUUGUAGGCACAUAGAUAGAUAAAGGGAUCAUGGAGGCAUAUAUUAGCGAGCUUGGGCUGGUUCUAGGUGUUGAGAAUGAAAAGUCGUGGCCAUUUUCUAGUUCAUGACGAAGCAGAAUUUUGUUUUAGAUCAUGUAUGUUUGACUAAUUGCCAAGUUUUCGUCAUUUUUCUCAGCCUGUGAAAAUUCCGGCCCUUGUGAAACAAGGAAAUUUGUUUCUUUUUUUGUUGCACACUUGUAGCUAAAGAUUGACUAGGACAUUGCUGUCUUUUUAUUGCCGCUUGAUCGGAACCCUUCAGUCUCGUUGAUAGCUAGCAUGCCCUGUGACUAAUGAUUACUCGAGGAACUCUUAUUUACUCUUGAUAAUUUACUAAGAAAACUCUGCAGUUUAACGGACUGAGUUGAUUGAUCUUACUUUUGAUGGGUUUUGUUGUUGGAAACAACGCAAACUAGGAGGGGGUCCUUAGAUGGCUGACUGAAAGUUAUAUGUUUUGUUGUGUGCAGAUUAUGGAACACACACAUUGCACUUUUUUAGCUUAGUCUCAGCCUACUGGACAUUGCUUCUAGUUUCUUGCUUUAAACUCAUAUGUGUUGGCAAUUCUUUUCUUUGUUUUUGCUGUGACGAAGAGCUUCUAGCUAUGAGAGGCAAAAGAAGAUGGUCGUCCGAAUCCUUGAGCUUUUAGCUUUGGUGGCGCGCGAAGAGAAAUGUUUGUUUUCGGACUCGAGGCAGACCAAGCAACUAGGCUUGUUUGUAAUGAAAUAAAAAACAUGAGGGCGCCGACUGCAAAAUUUUGUCCUUGUUUGUAACUGGCAGAGUGUGGAUGGGGAAUAACCUAAACAUGCAAACCCAGAUUAUGAAGGCUAGGAUGACAUUAUGAAGGAGAGUAAAGAUGGGAGUUCCAAGUAAGUAUACCAUUCCAGCGUGAGCUACCAGCUCCAAAUUCACAGCAGCCGACAAGCCUCCAAGAAGCACGCAGCGGCCGCUAUGGUCAUCGUCACCAGUACAUUCUGCACAGCUGCCACAGCACUGCCCCAGCUCACCUCCUUUGCAGCACGCCAUGGUCGCCGGGGGGCAGCAGAGCGUCCAAGAAAUCCUUGAGAUGUUGGGGCCUGUCCCACCCGUCCUUGGGGCUGAUGUGCAGGCGGCGGAUGGAUCUCCAGGCGUGGCGCCAGCGGCCGGCCAGCACGCUUGUCCGGACCGCGUCAUUCGCCGGCAGGAAGCCAAGGGCGUGCUGGAGGAGCGCUGAGCCGAUCCUCGCUGCCGGGCAUGGAUGCUUUCCUGGCCUUGCAAAAAUAGCUGGACAACCCGUCGAACAGGUAGUGAGCACCACCGCGCUGGAUCGAUGCUGUGGUGACAAGAAAACAAUGACGAAAUGAAGCAAAGAAGCGGGGGAAAAAACACGGUGGAAGACGAGCUUACCUCACCGAGGCUUAGCUUCACUCGCCGCUGCGCAGGGCCAGGGAUGCGGCGCAAAUGCAAGGAAUCGUCCAACCCCAACGGAGAAGACAAAGCGCGUGAGAGCUCUCUAUUUCAGCUCAGCUCAAGGACGAGAUGGGGUACGAGAUGGAGUGGUGGAGAGCACAGAGCAGUUAUUACCACCAGGAAGAAGCUCACCUACUGUACUAGAGGGACUGAGAUCCAGUGACUCGUCUUCAGCAAGUCACGUUGUAACUGGCCGCCAAUCAUCCGCCGUUGAAACCACAUCCAAAGAACCGCAGUGAAGGAAAGCAAAAAAGGCUCACACUUAUGUCCAGGCACCCAUCCAGCACAGAUUUGUGGCGGGGAAAAGGAGGACAAGGAUGGCUUUGGCGCGAAGAGCCAGCUCGGAGCAGCCGAGCACCGUCGCCGCGGAGGGUAGGCAGCGCCGCGCGGCCGUGAGGGCAAGGGAGGAGUGCCCCGACGGGCCGGGAAGCUGCUGCUGCAAGCGCCGCGCGAGCCGGGGAGGAGGUCCGCCGCAGAUCGAGCAGGAGCGCCGCCCGCGCGGGCCAGGGAGGAGCGCCGCCGUAGAUCAGCUACGCCGGCCGACCUCCUUGCUCACGUCACUCGGACCCGCCCGCCCCUCCCCGACGCCGGCCCUCUAGCUACCAGAAUUUGGGUUGUGCAAUGACAGAAAUCAGCAAAAGGAUACCUCAAGUUGGUAUGAGAUUCAGAGAUUCACAUGAGGCCUGGGUGUUUUGGGUAGAAUAUGGGGGUCACAUAGGUUUUGAUGUGAGGAAAAGAUGCAUCAACUUAAGCAAAUUUGAUGGAAAGGCGACUUCAUGCAGAUUUGUUUGUUCCCAUGAAGGCAUUAGAAGGAAGGGACAAACCGACCGUGAGCCAAAACAUUUUAGAGCUGAAACAAGAACUAAUUGUAGAGUUCAGAUGGUUAUUAGAUUGGAUCGAGCUGCAGAAAAUUAUGAAGUUACUGAUGUUGAACUGGAACACAACCACUAUCUUCAAUUGCCACAAACACGCCACUUGUUGACUGCAUGUUGUAGAGUAUUGGAUGGAAAUAACAAAUUUGCUAUUA